rnacentral:tRNA from 2 species
GGGCAGGUACCCAAGUGGUCAACGGGGGCAGACUGUAAAUCUGCUGCACACGCUUCGGAGGUUCGAAUCCUUCCCUGCCCA